rnacentral:lncRNA from 1 species
GCUUAUGGGAGAUUCAAUCACCAACGGUGAAGAUUUGUUUAGUAGAGUAUUUGUUGGGUGAAUAAGGAAUUAAUGGUCACAACUAACAUUUCAAUAUCCGAGCGAUUCUCCUAGACAAUCUGUGUGCUUAAAAAAAUUGUAUGAAGUGCAAUAGAGUAGACACGUACCCAAGAUUAACUGGAAUGCAUUCCAGCAUAAGAGGUGACUAAGGAAUCAUGGUCAAGUAGGUGUCGAUCGAAACGCCAAAAAAUCUGAUAAUUUCAAGAAUGAGGAAUUUUCUCAAGUGAUCUAAAAUGUAGUCCUUCUAGACCAACAAAAAGUGGGUUGAUUUGUCAAGUCGGCUGAUAAUCACUGAAACAUCAUCCUAAUCUCUACAUGUACAAGAUACCUCGUACCGGGAGCUUAUGGUGAUAUUUCUCAUCUCUAUUCAGAUACAGGAAGUGAUUAUAACCACUCGAACAAUUUCUUGAUGAUUCGUAAUUAACGUCAAAAUGAUACUCGUGAAUUCCAACUAGAAUGGGAUACGUCAGGCUAGAGGUAUUCAAGGGUACAUAUGUCUUUUGAUGUGGCAAACA